rnacentral:rRNA from 1 species
UACGAAGGUGGCAAGCGUUGUUCGGAUUUACUGGGCGUAAAGGGAGCGUAGGUGGUUAGGUAAGCCCUCUGGGAAAUCUUCAGGCUUAACCUGAAAAGGUCGGGGGGGACUGCCUGGCUAGAGGACGGGAGAGGAGCGCGGAAUUCCCGGUGUAGCGGUGAAAUGCGUAGAGAUCGGGAGGAAGGCCGGUGGCGAAGGCGGCGCUCUGGAAGCGUUUCUGACACUGAGGCUCGAAAGCGUGGGGAGCAAACAGG